CGCGGCGGCGCCAUUAAAGCGGCUCGGAGGCGGCUCGGGAGCUUGGCGACGCUAGUGGCUGCGGCCGGCAGGCGGGAGCGGGCGUCCGGGCUCGGGCCCGGCGCGUCUUGGCGCCGUCAUGGCGGAACAGCAGUUCGGGCCGGACUCGGCGGCGGCUGGAGCCGGGGCCGGGGGUGGCUCGGAGCAGGCGGAGCAGCCGGAAGGGGCGGUGGGGGCUGGCGCGGGCAGCGCGGAGGGUGGCGGCGGCGGUGGGAUCGAGUCGGAAGGAGCCAAGAUUGACGCGAGCAAGAACGAGGAGGACGAAGGAAAAAUGUUCAUUGGAGGCCUUAGCUGGGACACUACAAAGAAAGAUCUGAAGGACUACUUCUCGAAAUUUGGUGAAGUUGUAGACUGCACUCUGAAGUUAGAUCCUAUCACAGGACGAUCAAGAGGUUUUGGCUUUGUACUGUUUAAAGAAUCUGAAAGUGUAGAUAAGGUCAUGGACCAGAAAGAACACAAACUGAAUGGAAAGGUGAUUGAUCCUAAAAGAGCUAAAGCCAUGAAAACGAAAGAACCCGUUAAAAAGAUUUUUGUUGGUGGCCUAUCUCCAGACACACCUGAGGAGAAAAUAAGGGAGUAUUUUGGAGGUUUUGGGGAGGUGGAAUCUAUAGAGCUCCCUAUGGACAACAAAACCAAUAAAAGGCGUGGAUUCUGCUUUAUUACUUUCAAGGAGGAAGAACCAGUAAAGAAAAUAAUGGAAAAGAAAUACCACAAUGUUGGGCUCAGUAAGUGUGAAAUAAAAGUAGCCAUGUCAAAGGAACAAUAUCAGCAGCAGCAGCAGUGGGGAAGCAGAGGUGGAUUUGUUGGACGAGCUCGUGGAAGAGGUGGUGGCCCCAGUCAAAACUGGAACCAGGGAUAUAGCAACUACUGGAAUCAGGGGUAUGGCAGCUAUGGCUACAAUAGUCAAGGGUACGGUGGCUAUGGAGGAUAUGACUACACUGGUUACAACAACUACUAUGGAUACGGUGAUUAUAGCAAUCAGCAGAGUGGUUAUGGGAAAGUAUCUCGGCGAGGUGGUCAUCAAAAUAGCUACAAACCAUACUAAAUUAUUCCAUUUGCAACUUAUCCCAAACAGCGGGAACUUCAUUGCAGGCCCUGUGUCGCGCUGACUUCACGAUUCUCACAGGCCCGCUCAAUGCGGACAGGGUACGAGAUGCUCACGCUCUCGAAUGCUGCCGUUUGGUGGAGAAGCAGUAUUUUCUCAUUUGAAGAUUCAUUUGAGGUGGCUCAUGCUACCUGCUAAUAGCAGUUCAAACUAAUUUUUUGUAUCAAGUCCUUGAAUUGGAAGUAAGACGUUGGGUCCCUCUGAAGUUUAAUUGAGUUCUCCUUAAAACAAAAUUUCUUUCACGGUCUUAUUUCUUAAUUGCUAUGCUUAAGAACCAGUUUGUUUUAUGCCCCUUCCUCAGUAUUGUAGAGCAAGUCUUGUGUUAAAAAGCCCAGUGUGACAGUGUCAUGAUGUAGUAGUGUCUUACUGGUUUUUUAAUAAAUCUUUUUGUAUAAA